rnacentral:RNase_P_RNA from 1 species
GCAGGAAACCAUGUGAUCGCCUCAUAAGAGAUUAUGGGGAGGAAAGUCCGGACUGCACAGGGUAAGGAACGGGGGGCAACCUCCGACGAUAAUUCAUAAACGCUGGUGCUGUUUUAGAGAAAUCCGAAACAGACAGAGGGUGAAGUAACAUCCUUUGAGAGCAACAGAGACGAGCUUUUGCCUAAGUUCUUUGAAUAUGGCAGAAGUUGAAACGGGCAAUCCCACCUGCAGCAAUCUACGACUGUACCGUUUGAGCUAACCCGGCGAGGUACAAAGAUAGAGCUUAGAUAGAUGGUCACAUAAAACAGAAUCCGGCUUAUGGUUUCCUGCAAUA